UAUAUAAUAAGCAUAAGAUAUAUAAUUAUCAUAAUAAACUCUAAAGAAUGAUUCAGUUUAUCUACUAAACAUGCAAAAUUUUCAUUUUCUUUCUUUUGUUGGGCCAUAUCCAUGAUUUCCUUAUGGUUUUGUGUUUGUUGCUGAAUACAUAAAUAUUGAGAAGUAAAGAGUUUGAUAUUAUCACCUAAGAGUUUGAUAUUAUCACCUAUCUUACUGGUAAAGUAAAGCUAAUGAAAGUAAAAGACAUUAAAUAGAAUUUCGAUUGGGUAAGCUUUUUUUUUUUGCUCUUGCAUUGGGAAAAAGUGUGCACGCACCAGAACUUAGGUGCACCAGGUGUGCGCCUCCCUCAAAAGGGUUUGAAACGCUUUUGUUGUUUGGUGCUAAGGCCUAAGGCACAAUGCCUUGACAACACUGUACAUUCCCCAAUUUCCCAGAUAAGUUCCUAAUUUUCCUUGCAGCCAUUUAAGACCUUAAGGCAUUAUUAUGUUCAAUUAGGUCUGUACUGUUGAUAAAGUUGUUUAAGUACUUUAUUUUUGCAGAUCAGCUAUCUACAUGGUCAUUGUCUUUGCUACAUCAGCAUCUACAUGGCAACAUAUGAAAAUUCAUGUUAAGUUGGCAUUUAUUUGGCUUAUAGCCCUAGCUUAUAUGGCAUGCAGAUGCCACAACAGUAUCUUUAAAUCCCUUAUUUAGCCACAUAUGUUGCCUUUGUAAAUGCUGAUAUGGCAAGGUAAAUGGUGUCAUAGAUGCUGAUAUGGCUAAGAUUACAGAUUUUUAUUGGUUUCCAUCCUGGUCAGGGUUCUAUUAAACAAAAAUAGUCCUUAAAGGGUUGAGUUUGGUAUGGUAGAAAUACAAAUGUAGGGGUUUAUCUAAGAAAUUUAAGAAGGUACAAAGACCUUUUCUUCUAAAAAGAAAAAUAGCCUAUUAUUACUUUAUUAGCAUGGAAUGGUUUUAGGUGUUUUUGUACUUCAAUUCGAUUUGCUUGUUACAAACAGGCAAGACAACUGGAAGCAAGCAUUGAAUUGACAGGGAAAGCCGUGGAGGACCCAACAGAAGUAGAAGUUGAGCUGAAGCGAAGGCUUGGACAGCUGACUGAUCAUUUAAUUCAGAAACAAGCUCAGGUUGAGGCACUAUCCUCGGAAAAGUCGACAUUGUCAUUUAGAAUUAAGGCAGUUUCAAGGAUGCUGGAAGAGGGCAAGUCCACGAAUAUGAAUAAUGCCACAUCAAGUGAUUUGGAAUUAGGAACAUGGGGUCUCUCAAGUUCAAAGUUGAAUCCUGCUCAAGACAAAAUUCGUUCUGGAAAAUUGCAACUUGGAUCAAUGAUUAAGCAGUUGGAUGCUAUAUUUUUGGCAGGUGCAAUAUUCUUAAGAAGAAAUGCAACAGCAAAAGUUUGGUCUUUGGUAUACCUCAUUUGCCUUCACUUUUGGGUCAUAUAUAUUCUAAUGUCACAUUCCCCACCAUCAGAUGAGGAAAGAUCUGGUGCUGUUAUGUCCCUUGGUAAAUAUCAAUAGAAGUGUAGGUGUGUAUUUUGUAAUUUCUGUAUUUCUUGACACAACUUUCAAGAGAUCUAUGUGCAGGGUGUAAUAAUUUUUUAA